GCUUUGUCAUUUUUAACAUUGAUUAUUACAUGUUGACAUUCGUUAUCUUUGUUUAUUCUUCAGCUGAUUCACAUUUUUCUGUUGGGGUGACUGGCCUUUAAAAAAAAAAAAUCAAACUGUAUAUACCAGCUAUCCAUUUAAAUAGAUCAGCAAGUUACUGGAAGAAAUAUUUUGCUAUUCCAGCUCUAACAGUUACUCUACUCAAGUCCACAUAUUUUCUCUCAAUUUCUCGCUGCAUGCAUAUCAGUGUUGCACCAGUAAUAAGUAAUUACACUUUAAAUUCACAAUAGUAUUGCUGGUUACAGUACAGCUUGUAGCCUUUCCAUAUUUUUAGCAACUUCAUUAAUCUGCGAGGUUGAAAUUUCCUCCUCCUCCUCCUCCUCCUCCUCCUCCUCCUCCUUCUUCCUCUUCCUCUUCCUCUUCCUCUUCCCAUCCCACCAUUCAUUUUAGGUGCUCAGAUUAAUCUUCCAAUCCCCAUUUUAUCCUCACAAGAAUUCUGUGAGGUAGGUUAGGCUGAGAGAUUGUGAAUGGUCAAAGGUCACCUAGUUAGCCUCAUGAAUGAGUGGGGAUUUUAUCCCUGGUCUUCCAGGUCCUAAUCUAAUCCAACACUCUAACCACUACACAACACUGGCUCUAUGCCCCACAGUUAAUUACUGCUGUUAUAUCUAUUAACGAAGGACUAUUUUUUUAAAAAAUGGCUAGUGAAGACCAAUGAUUAAGGUUGCUAUCUUAUACCCACUCAUCUGGGAGUAAGCCAAACUUAGCUCAAAGGGGACUUAUUUCUGAGAAGACACAUACAGGGUUGCACUGUUAGUCAUUAACAUCUUAAUUUAUGUCUGUCCAAUCCUGAGGUAUAAAACUACUCAUACAUUUUGAAACUCUCUUUCACUCCAUCUGGACUUGAACCUUUUGUGACAUAGCUGCUACUCUUCUUGCGCUAAGAAAAAAUUUCUACAAACACUCAGGAUGACUCACCAGGAGAAGAUGCAGUGAUUCAAAUAGUCCCAUUGUUACUUCAUCAUCACAACUGGAAUUAUACCAAUUUGUGGUAAUGAUACUGUGUUUAUGCUGCAUUUAGUAUAGACACAACCAAAUACUUCAACUUCAGAUCUGAAUUCAGUGCAUUUGGGCAUCUCAGUGUCUUCAGUUUAAAUGCCACAUGGGUUUAGUUUUUUACUUCUCUGCCUUGAGCUGCACCUCAUCAAGGACCUUGAGGAAGUAAUUAAAUUGGUUUACAGGUGUUUUCAGACAGAUUAACCCCAUGAAUUUGGACUAUUCAAGUAUAACUGUGACAGCUGUAGAGUAUGACCACCAUUUUAUAUUGUGGUAUGCAUCACUCAAAGGUGCCAAAGACAUUUGGCUGUUUCCUUUUAUUCAUCUAUUAAUGGCAUGUGCUAAUCUUUUUUCAGACCCUCUUCCCAUAUCUGGUUUUCAAAAGGGUCAUAGAGAAAUGGAUAGGCCUGCUUUAGAGUGCAGCUGCUUCUGGUCUCUUCUCUAUGAUUACAGAGAAGUGUCCGAUGCAUACCUGCAAACUCACAAGUUAGCUGAUGCAUCUUUAGUAGCAAGUAAAACUGGAGUGGCUGAACCGUUACCAGGAGCAUACAUCACCUAAAC
rnacentral:lncRNA from 1 species